UACGAAGGGGGCUAGCGUUGCUCGGAAUUACUGGGCGUAAAGGGCGCGUAGGCGGAUAUUUAAGUUGGGGGUGAAAUCCCGGGGCUCAACCUCGGAAUUGCCUUCAAAACUGGAUAUCUUGAGUUCGGGAGAGGUGAGUGGAACUCCGAGUGUAGAGGUGAAAUUCGUAGAUAUUCGGAAGAACACCAGUGGCGAAAGGCGGCUCACUGGCCCGGUACUGACGCUGAGGUGCGAAAGCGUGGGGAGCAAACAGG
rnacentral:rRNA from 1 species